rnacentral:ncRNA from 1 species
GAUAGAGGUGCGGUAAAGGCGUGUAAUCGGACGGAGGCUGCCGGAGCCUGUGAGAGCCGAUGAAUAGAGUUGCCGCCGAAAAGCAGGAGAGCGGCGUUUCCUGCUUUGGUCAUUCAUCGGAGCGAUGUCUGACUGUCACCAUAUUUUUAUGGUGGGGAGCUAUCGU